ACGGACCUGUAGAGUCCGUAGGGAUGUGGCUUUAAUAAGCUGAACCGUAAA
rfam:Miscellaneous Crenarchaeota group-6 archaeon AD8-1 WOR_8-12_243, whole genome shotgun sequence.